rnacentral:rRNA from 1 species
UACGUAGGGUGCAAGGCGUUAAUCGGAAUUACUGGCGUAAGCGUGCGCAGGCGGUUGUGCAAGACAGAUGUGAAAUCCCGGGCUUAACCUGGAAUUGCAUUGUGACUGCACGGCUAGAGUGUGUCAGAGGGGGGUAGAAUUCCACGUGUAGCAGUGAAAUGCGUAGAUAUGUGGAGGAAUACCGAUGGCGAAGGCAGCCCCCUGGGAUAACACUGACGCUCAUGCACGAAAGCGUGGGGAGCAAACAGG